rnacentral:ncRNA from 1 species
UAGCUGGUGAAAGCCCGGUCGCGGGAGUGGCCAAGCCCCCAUGUAGCUCGGAUGCCUGCGUAUGGCGAAAGCAGUGCGUAGACGACAAAAGUACCUGUCAGAGACAGGGCGAGCGACAAGCCAGGCCGCAACAUAA